UUAGUACGGAAUAGCCAUUGGAAACGAUGAUUAAUACCGUAUACGCCCCAAGGGGGAAAGAUUUAUCGCUAAAGGAUCGGCCCGCGUUAGAUUAGGUAGUUGGUAGGGUAAUGGCCUACCAAGCCGACGAUCUAUAGCUGGUUUGAGAGGAUGAUCAGCAACACUGGGACUGAGACACGGCCCAGACUUCUACGGAAGGCAGCAGUAGGGAAUCUUGGACAAUGGGCGAAAGCCUGAUCCAGCCAUGCCGCGUGAGUGAUGAAGGCCCUAGGGUUGUAAAGCUCUUUCGCCAGGGAAGAUAAUGACGGUACCUGGUAAAGAAACCCCGGCUA
rnacentral:rRNA from 1 species